rnacentral:rRNA from 1 species
UACAGAGGGGGCAAGCGUUGUUCGGAAUUACUGGGCGUAAAGGGCGCGUAGGCGGCCUUCUAAGUCGAACGUGAAAUCCCCGGGCUCAACCCGGGAACUGCGUCCGAGACUGGAAGGCUUGAAUCCGGGAGAGGGAUGUGGAAUUCCAGGUGUAGCGGUGAAAUGCGUAGAUAUCUGGAGGAACAUCGGUGGCGAAGGCGGCAUCCUGGACCGGUAUUGACGCUGAGGCGCGAAAGCGUGGGGAGCAAACAGG